rnacentral:rRNA from 1 species
CAGUCGCCGCGGUAAUACGUAGGGUGCGAGCGUUAAUCGGAAUUACUGGGCGUAAAGCGUGCGCAGGCGGUUAUAUGAGACAGAUGUGAAAUCCCCGGGCUCAACCUGGGACCUGCAUUUGUGACUGUAUAGCUAGAGUACGGUAGAGGGGGAUGGAAUUCCGCGUGUAGCAGUGAAAUGCGUAGAUAUGCGGAGGAACACCGAUGGCGAAGGCAAUCCCCUGGACCCGUACUGACGCUCAUGCACGAAAGCGUGGGGAGCAAACAGGAUUAGAUACCCCCGUAGUCCCUGUCUCUUAUAC